rnacentral:rRNA from 1 species
UACGGGGGGAGCAAGCGUUGUUCGGAUUUACUGGGCGUAAAGGGCGCGUAGGCGGCCAGCACAAGUCAGUUGUGAAAUCUCCGAGCUUAACUCGGAACGGUCAACUGAUACUGUGCGGCUAGAGUGCGGAAGGGGCAACUGGAAUUCUUGGUGUAGCGGUGAAAUGCGUAGAUAUCAAGAGGAACACCUGCGGCGAAGGCGGGUUGCUGGGCCGACACUGACGCUGAGGCGCGAAAGCGUGGGGAUCGAACGGG